CCUACGGGAGGCAGCAGUGAGGAAUAUUGGUCAAUGGACGAGAGUCUGAACCAGCCAAGUAGCGUGAAGGAUGACUGCCCUAUGGGUUGUAAACUUCUUUUAUAUGGGAAUAAAAUGUUCCACGUGUGGGAUGUUGUAUGUACCAUAUGAAUAAGGAUCGGCUAACUCCGUGCCAGCAGCCGCGGUAAUACGGAGGAUCCGAGCGUUAUUCGGAUUUAUUGGGGUUAAAGGGAGCGUAGGUGGAUUGUUAAGUCAGUUGUGAAAGUUUGCGGCUCAACCGUAAAAUUGCAGUUGAAACUGGCAGUCUUGAGUACAGUAGAGGAGGGCGGAAUUCGUGGUGUAGCGGUGAAAUGCUUAGAUAUCACGAAGAACUCCGAUUGCGAAGGCAGCUCACUGGACUGCAACUGACACUGAGGCUCGAAAGUGUGGGUAUCAAACAGGAUUAGAUACCCCAGUAGUC
rnacentral:rRNA from 1 species